rnacentral:rRNA from 1 species
UCAGGAUGAACGCUAGCUACAGGCUUAACACAUGCAAGUCGAGGGGCAGCAUUGGGAUAGCUUGCUAUUCAGAUGGCGACCGGCGCACGGGUGAGUAACGCGUAUCCAACCUUCCUGCCAGUAGGGAACAGCCCGGCGAAAGUCGGAUUAAUGCCCUAUGUUCUUCAAUGCGGACAUCUAAGUUGAAGGAAAGAUUCAUCGCUGGCAGAUGGGGAUGCGUCCGAUUAGCUUGCCGGCGGGGUAACGGCCCAUCGGGGCGACGAUCGGUAGGGGUUCUGAGAGGAAGGUCCCCCACACUGGUACUGAGACACGGACCAGACUCCUACGGGAGGCAGCAGUGAGGAAUAUUGGUCAAUGGGCGUAAGCCUGAACCAGCCAAGUAGCGUGCAGGAAUGACGGCCCUACGGGUUGUAAACUGCUUUUAUGCGGGGAUAAAGUGCGGCACGUGUGCCGCUUUGCAGGUACCGCAUGAAUAAGGACCGGCUAAUUCCGUGCCAGCCGCAGC